GCCCAAGCAUACACGCAAGUGUACGUGAUCUACCAAGUAAUAUAAUGGCCUUCAAGAAAGUUGAAUAUCGAUCUCACAGGGGCUUGUGUCGACAACUAUCCUAUUCUAGUUUAACAAUUGAGAUAAAGUAACCAAGAAGAUUGUUGAAUAAUUUUAAACUAAAAAUAAAAUAAACAAUGCAUAAAAAUAAAAGUCUUGGGAUAAUCAAUGGAUUAAAGC
rnacentral:lncRNA from 1 species